GCAUGAAGUCGGAAUUGCUAGUAAUCGCGGAUCAGCAUGCCGCGGUGAAUACGUUCCCGGGCCUUGUACACACCGCCCGUCACACCAUGAGAGUCGGGGACACCCGAAGCCUGUAGCAUAACCGCGAGGGGUGCGCAGUCGAAGGUGGAUUCGAUGAUUGGGGUGAAGUCGUAACAAGGUAAC
rnacentral:rRNA from 1 species